CAGAAAGUGGUUUACGAAGCACGAUGCCGCCAUGACAGCGGCGGGACGCCUGAAGAAGACACCCCUCAGUGAAAUCUUGACGUGGGUGAAUGACGCGCGGAAAGACUUGCCAGCGGAAACAAUCGAGACUGGAUUUGAAAAGUGUUGCAUUUGGAACGUUCGAUGGCAGCGAGGACGAUGUCAUCUGGGAAGCCGAGCAUGCCUGCCAAGCAUCCUACGACGACAACUUUCCGUACACUUCUGGUGAAGAUGAAGCUCCUGGAAGCGACCAGAGGGCUGAGGAAAAGUUAUUGUAAAUACCAGGUAUUAAUGCUGAGACUUCUCGUGCAGAAGAAAAUCAGCUUGACAACCAUGCCAUUCUCCCAAUAGUCGAGGUAUUCAAUACUACUGAGAAAUUAUGGUUGUAUCAGCAAAACAUCUCGUCCACCUCCACUAGACAUGGUUCCCGGUCUCUUCCAGUUACAAUGAAUGAAACGCUGUGCAUAUUUUUUAUGAAAUAUAAUAUCACCAAUGAUGAUAUUUACUUUUGGAAGGAGAGAAAGCAAAUCACGGUAAAUAAAUGGCGAAAAAUCCUGCUGCAUGGAUCAUUCAAUACAAGCCAUGAACCGCUUGGCUCUAUGGAUGUUGUACGAGCAGAGUGUGGAGUCUUUGUUGGUGAGAAGCAAGCACCGAAUGGGCCUACAGAUGGAUGCAAUAAUUACUUCAAGACCAAUUGUACAGGAGACAUACUUGUAUUCUACAAUAAAACGUGUGAUACUGCACGAAGCGAAUUUACAUCGACACAACCACCUUUGAAAGGUUAGUUGAUCAAUACGGAUAUCUUUAUUAAGAGACCCGCACAAUAUUUUCAAUAAAGUUCUUGUUGAGCGAGA
rnacentral:misc_RNA from 1 species